CCUACGGGUGGCAGCAGUGGGGAAUAUUGGACAAUGGGCGCAAGCCUGAUCCAGCCAUGCCGCGUGAGUGAUGAAGGCCUUAGGGUUGUAAAGCUCUUUUGUCCGGGACGAUAAUGACGGUACCGGAAGAAUAAGCCCCGGCUAACUUCGUGCCAGCAGCCGCGGUAAUACGAAGGGGGCUAGCGUUGCUCGGAAUCACUGGGGGUAAAGGGCGCGUAGGCGGCCGAUUAAGUCGGGGGUGAAAGCCUGUGGCUCAACCACAGAAUUGCCUUCGAUACUGGUUGGCUUGAGACCGGAAGAGGACAGCGGAACUGCGAGUGGAGAGGUGACAUUCGUAGAUAUUCGCAAGAACACCAGUGGCGAAGGCGGCUGUCUGGUCCGGUUCUGACGCUGAGGCGCGAAAGCGUGGGGAGCAAACAGGAUUAGAUACCCCAGUAGUC
rnacentral:rRNA from 1 species